rnacentral:rRNA from 1 species
AACGAACGCUGGCGGCAUGCCUAACACAUGCAAGUCGAACGAGACCUUCGGGUCUAGUGGCGCACGGGUGCGUAACGCGUGGGAACCUGCCCUUAGGUUCGGAAUAACUCCCCGAAAGGGGUGCUAAUACCGGAUAAUGUCUUCGGACCAAAGAUUUAUCGCCUGUGGAUGGGCCCGCGUUGGAUUAGCUAGUUGGUAGGGUAAAAGCCUACUAAGGCGACGAUCCAUAGCUGGUCUGAGAGGAAGAUCAGCCACACUGGGAUUGAGACACGGCCCAGACUCCUACGAGAGGCAGCAGUGGGGAAUAUUGGACAGUGGGCGAAAGCCAGAUCCAGCAAUGCCGCGUGAGUGAUGAAGGCCUUAGGGUUGUAAAGCUCUUUUACCCGGGAUGAUAAGGACAGUACCGGGAGAAUAAGCUCCGGCUAACUCCGU